rnacentral:rRNA from 1 species
AGUGGACGCUGGCGGUAGGCCUAACACAUGCAAGUCGAACGGCAGCACAGUAAGAGCUUGCUCUUACGGGUGGCGAGUGGCGGACGGGUGAGGAAUACAUCGGAAUCUACUUUUUCGUGGGGGAUAACGUAGGGAAACUUACGCUAAUACCGCAUACGACCUACGGGUGAAAGCAGGGGAUCUUCGGACCUUGCGCGAUUGAAUGAGCCGAUGUCGGAUUAGCUAGUUGGCGGGGUAAAGGCCCACCAAGGCGACGAUCCGUAGCUGGUCUGAGAGGAUGAUCAGCCACAUUGGAACUGAGACACGGUCCAGACUCCUACGGGAGGCAGCAGUGGGGAAUAUUGGACAAUGGGCGCAAGCCUGAUCCAGCCAUACCGCGUGGGUGAAGAAGGCCUUCGGGUUGUAAAGCCCUUUUGUUGGGAAAGAAAAGCAGCAGGUUAAUACCCCGCUGUUCUGACGGUACCCAAAGAAUAAGCACCGGCUAACUUCGUG